GCUGUGGUGAAUACUUUAACGAAGAAAUACAUAUAUCAUUUACUGUUGUACGUAGAGUUGAACUCUUACAAAAACAGUUGCCUCACGAGAAAUCGCCUAAAAAAGUGACAUUUCAAUUUUGAAAUGGUUCUAUUUACAGACCUACAAGUUCAAAUUUAGUUUUUUUUAGGGCAAUGGGUAUGAAUGUUGUUUUUGGCGGCGUGUACGCUGUCCGGGAUUGUCAGACGUCUUAAUUAUUCCAAAAACUACAUUUUUACAUUAAGUCAUGCGUGAGGGGAUCGGUUCUGAUUGAGAACAUCGUGAAUGCGUGAGGGGA
rnacentral:lncRNA from 1 species